UGCAGUUUGACUGCAAAAAGACAAAGUUCUAACUCAGAAGACUGAAGUUAUAUCUGCAUAAGCGAGUUUUUCAGCCCCAGAGGAGAAGACUUGUAGAGCACACCUGCUGGUACCAAGAAUGCAACACCCAAACUCCGUGUGUUUCAGGCCCACAGAGAUGAAAGUACAACGCUGAUGGCACGGCACAGCAUGCUGGGGUCUGCUUGCAAGGAACAUGAAGAAAGACACUACCUCAAGAAAACCAUCACCACUGGAAAGAAACCCCAAACCAAACUCAAAACUCAACAAAAACUGAACCACAUUCUCAAAAUCAUUACAGGUCAAGAUAUGUAACCUCAGGUUUGCCCAGUCUUAAGGAUUGGUCACCAGCUUUCCACUGCAAACUGUGAAGACUGAGAUACUCUCUACUUACAGUGAAAUACUUCAGACAAUAUUUUCCUAUAGAAUACCUGGGUGUUUUAUAGGAAAAAAUAAAUGAAGGUGCUUCCUUCUUUAUGCAUUUGUACUUAUCAUGUCAGUUAGUGGCCACUGCAAUACAGUAAAUCCAUCAAUCCAAAUGGUAUCAAAACAGUGAGAGAUGAUGUGAAAGGAACAUAAACUAAUCCCUCUGAAAUACUGGGCUGAAUAACUGCCUUUCAAUAAAGCCUGACAUCAUAAGGAAUAGCCUAUUAGCCUAAAAUCAUUACUUCUACAGUUCUGCUUCCAUCAUGUCAGCUACAAUGAUAGCUUCUAGGCAAGGAAAAAGCAAGAGUAUAUUAAAUGUGUUUAUGCUUAAAUGAGCUGCAAUCAGAUAGAAAUAACACUUUUCAUAAAGGAAAUCUAUUGCUGCUCACAUGCAUCGAUGAGCUGUAAACCAGGAUUCAGGAAAAAGAUGUUUUUCAAGUUUUUCAGCCUGUUGUACUGAAAUUUUCCCAACAAAUAUUUAUUUAUUCCAAGAUAUCUUGACCCAACCAAGUAUUCAUUCCUGAACAUAUUUCUAAGCAUAUGAGCACCCUUAGUGGAGCUGGCAGAACUACUUAUUGGGUUGUUGGCUUAAAUAUAUACUUCCAUGCCAGCACACUGUUGAAUCAGAGCCUAUGAGCUGCAAAGAAUGCUUACUAGCUACAAUAUUAAUUGAGACACACAGGAAUUGUAACCUCUCAGCACCUCUCCAUAUGUUAUGACCUCAUUUAGGACUUCUGAUCAGUUGCCAAACAUUUACAUAGCUGUUAGCACACUGUAAGUUAAUGUGUAACAACUGCAACAAACCCUGAAAAUAAUGUAUUUCAAGAAGACAGCUGUAAAUCUCUGAGAUCUAUUUAAAAUCUCUACAAAAACUCUAUAUAAAAAGUGUUGUCACAGUUCUAUAAAUAUGAUAUUGUAAAUAAUUUAAGUGUAAUUUAGAGUUUAAUAAACCUUGAAUUUUUAUUCGGGUUCUUCUCUGGUCUUCUUAUAUAAAUCAAACAGGAAAAAUUAUAUCUGCAGUAAAAAGGUUACCUUAUUUUAUCUGGGAUUAAUACUGACACACAUUGAAAAAAAUGAUACAGCAUUUUCUUUAUCUAUAAAACUGUGAACCAAAUUUGUUGCUUUUGAGAUUCAAAUAAAAGAUUGGGC